AUGGGCGAGCCUGAUCCAGCAAUGCCGCGUGCAGGAAGAAGGCCUUCGGGUUGUAAACUGCUUUUGUACGGAACGAAAAGGUCUGCCCUAAUACGGCGGGCCCAUGACGGUACCGUAAGAAUAAGCACCGGCUAACUACGUGCCAGCAGCCGCGGUAAUACGUAGGGUGCGAGCGUUAAUCGGAAUUACUGGGCGUAAAGCGUGCGCAGGCGGUGAUGUAAGACAGUUGUGAAAUCCCCGGGCUCAACCUGGGAAUUGCAUCUGUGACUGCAUCGCUAGAGUACGGUAGAGGGGGAUGGAAUUCCGCGUGUAGCAGUGAAAUGCGUAGAUAUGCGGAGGAACACCGAUGGCGAAGGCAAUCCCCUGGACCUGUACUGACGCUCAUGCACGAAAGCGUGGGGAGCAAACAGGAUUAGAUACCCUGGUAGUCCACGCCCUAAACGAUGUCAACUGGUUGUUGGGUGCAUUAGUACUCAGUAACGAAGCUAACGCGUGAAGUUGACCGCCUGGGGAGUACGGCCGCAAGGUUGAAACUCAAGGG
rnacentral:rRNA from 1 species